GACGAACCGUGCGAACGUUGUUCGGAAUCACUGGGCUUAAAGGGCGCGUAGGCGGGCGGUCAAGCCUGUGGUGAAAUCCUUCGGCUCAACCGGAGAAUAGCUGGAGAUACUGGCCGUCUCGAGGGGGGUAGGGGCAUGUGGAACUUCCGGUGGAGCGGUGAAAUGCGUAGAUAUCGGAAGGAACGCCGGUGGCGAAAGCGACGUGCUGGACCCUUUCUGACGCUGAGGCGCGAAAGCCAGGGGAGCAAACAGG
rnacentral:rRNA from 1 species